UCACGAGGUUCCAGAUAGUUAGGUACAGAAAAUAGCUCAUAAUCGAUACAAUACCGCUUCGUACAAUAACAAGCGAAUUCCUAACACUUUGUGUUCACUUCUUAUAACCUCAAGCUAUAGAGUAUUUAUAGAUAAGAAACUGCCAGAGAAAACUUCAGCAAAUCCAGAAGAUAUUAUGUUGUGUUUUGUUACAUUGAACGAUGUCCGCUAGAGGCGCUGGCGAGUUUAACCUAGGGAAACUUAUCGAAUACGUUAGUGAUGCCAUCGUUGUUACAUACAAUAAUUAAUUUUUUAAUAAUAUAGAUUUAAAAAGCUUAAAACAAAAAAUAUAAUUAUAUUUUAAUGAAAUCUUGCAAUCGUAGUUUUUAUAUGUAAUUGAUUGUUUUGUCACCUUGAACGCUCUUUCCAAAAUUUCUUUUUAAUAACGAAAACAAAGUAUGUAAUGUUAGUAUCUAUGUAUAAGAAUUUCCUAAAGCUGCAAAAUAAAAACAUUUUUUUUAAUU